UUUAUUGGAGAGUUUGAUCCUGGCUCAGGAUGAACGCUGGCGGCGUGCCUAAUACAUGCAAGUCGAGCGAAUGGAUUAAGAGCUUGCUCUUAUGAAGUUAGCGGCGGACGGGUGAGUAACACGUGGGUAACCUGCCCAUAAGACUGGGAUAACUCCGGGAAACCGGGGCUAAUACCUGAUAACAUUUUGAACCGCAUGGUUCGAAAUUGAAAGGCGGCUUCGGCUGUCACUUAUGGAUGGACCCGCGUCGCAUUAGCUAGUUGGUGAG
rnacentral:rRNA from 1 species